rnacentral:rRNA from 1 species
CCUACGGGUGGCUGCAGUCGAGAAUUAUUCACAAUGGGGGAAACCCUGAUGGUGCGACGCCGCGUGGGGGAAUGAAGGUCUUCGGAUUGUAAACCCCUGUCAUGUGGGAGCAAAUUACAACGAUAGUACCCCCCGAGGAAGAGACGGCUAACUCUGUGCCAGCAGCCGCGGUAUUACAGAGGUCUCAAGCGUUGUUCGGAAUCACUGGGCGUAAGGCGUGCUUAGGCUGUUUCGUAAGUCGUGUGUGAAAGGCGCGGGCUCAACCCGCGGACGGCACAUGAUACUGCGAGACUAGAGUAAUGGAGGGGGAACCGGAAUUCUCGGUGUAGCAGUGAAAUGCGUAGAUAGCGAGAGGAACACUCGUGGCGAAGGCGGGUUCCUGGACAUUAACUGACGCUGAGGCACGAAGGCCAUGGGAGCGAAAGGGAUUAGAUACCCUUGUAGUC